ensembl:snRNA U6 U6 spliceosomal RNA
GUGCUCACUUCAGCAGCAUAAACUAUCACUAGAAAAUACAGAGAUGGUUAGCACAGCCCCUUUGCAAGGAUCAUAUACAACUGGCAUGAAGGGUCUCAUCAUCCU